rnacentral:snRNA from 13 species
AGCUUUGCGCAGUGGCAGUAUCGUAGCCAAUGAGGUUUAUCCGAGGCGCGAUUAUUGCUAAUAGUCUUCUGUUUGUCCACAGUAGCUAAUACAGAGCCUGCUAUCUCCGAUACUGAAUAAAGUUUACACAAAAUCCUUCGUCCCCUCAAUAGAUG